CCAGUGAGCUAUGGAGAUGGUUCAACUUCCAGAGGCUUCCUCAUAAAUUUUUGGAAUUUUUGAGACACAGAUAAACUUCGGGUGAUCGAGAUCAACUAUUUUCCUGCAUCCAGCAGCCACAAUAGUCGACGGUGUACUGCUACAGGAGGAGACAUUUUUCAGAAUAACCUGUCCCUUUCCUCUCAGGUUAUGAAAAGAUUACUUAAUUGUAUUAUUAUUCUCUAAAUUUGUAAUUUAGGACUCCGCAUGUGCUAGUAGUAGCAUUAAGCCUAUCAGAGACUAUAUGAAUUCAAGUUUUCGUAUUAAUAAAUGAAAAGAAAAAAAAUUUUAUGAGUUUUAAA